rnacentral:rRNA from 1 species
UACAGAGGGGGGCAACGUUGUUCGGAAUUACUGGGCGUAAAGGGCGCGUAGGCGGCCCGGUAAGUCAAAGGUGAAAUCCCUCGGCUCAACUGAGGAACUGCCUUUGAAACUGUCGGGCUUGAGGCCGGGAGGGGGUAGCGGAAUUCCCAGUGUAGCGGUGAAAUGCGUAGAUAUUGGGAGGAACACCGGUGGCGAAGGCGGCUACCUGGACCGGUUCUGACGCUGAUGCGCGAAAGCGUGGGUAGCAAACAGG